rnacentral:rRNA from 1 species
CGGACGGGUGAGUAAUGCUUGGGAAUCUAGCUUAUGGAGGGGGAUAACUACGGGAAACUGUAGCUAAUACCGCGUAGAAUCGAGAGAUGAAAGUGUGGGACCUUCGGGCCACAUGCCAUAGGAUGAGCCCAAGUGGGAUUAGGUAGUUGGUGAGGUAAAGGCUCACCAAGCCGACGAUCUCUAGCUGGUCUGAGAGGGUGAACGGCCACAUUGGGACUGAGACACGGCCCAA